AUUGAACGCUGGCGGCAGGCCUAACACAUGCAAGUCGAACGGUAACAGGAAGAAUCUUGCUUCUUUGCUGACGAGUGGCGGACGGGUGAGUAAUGUCUGGGAAACUGCCUGAUGGAGGGGGAUAACUACUGGAAACGGUAGCUAAUACCGCAUAACGUCGCAAGACCAAAGAGGGGGACCUUCGGGCCUCUUGCCAUCGGAUGUGCCCAGAUGGGAUUAGCUAGUAGGUGGGGUAACGGCUCACCUAGGCGACGAUCCCUAGCUGGUCUGAGAGGAUGACCAGCCACACUGGAACUGAGACACGGUCCAGACUCCUACGGGAGGCAGCAGUGGGGAAUAUUGCACAAUGGGCGCAAGCCUGAUGCAGCCAUGCGGCGUGUAUGAAGAAGGCCUUCGGGUUGUAAAGUACUUUCAGCGGGGAGGAAGGGAGUAAAGUUAAUACCUUUGCUCAUGGACGUUACCCGCAGAAGAAGCACCGGCUAACUCCGU
rnacentral:rRNA from 1 species